UACGGAGGGGGCUAGCGUUGUUCGGAAUUACUGGGCGUAAAGCGCACGUAGGCGGCCUUGUAAGAUGGGGGUGAAAUCCCCGGGCUCAACCCGGGAACUGCCUUCAUGACUGCAAAGCUAGAGGAUGCGAGAGGUUAGCGGAAUUCCGAGUGUAGAGGUGAGAUUCGUAGAUAUUCGGAAGAACACCAGUGGCGAAGGCGGCUAACUGGCGCAUUUCUGACGCUGAGGUGCGAAAGCGUGGGGAGCAAACAGG
rnacentral:rRNA from 1 species